GAUAAACGCUAGCGACAGGCCUAACACAUGCAAGUCGAGGGGCAGCACAUGAGUAGCAAUACGAUGGUGGCGACCGGCGCACGGGUGAGUAACACGUAUGCAACCUACCCAUAAGAGGGGAAUAACCCGGAGAAAUUCGGACUAACACCGCAUAAUACUGAAUAUUCGCAUGGAUUUUCAGUUAAAUAUUAAUAGCUUAUGGAUGGGCAUGCGUAUGAUUAGAUAGUUGGUAGGGUAACGGCCUACCAAGUCAACGAUCAUUAGGGGUUCUGAGAGGAAGGUCCCCCACAUUGGAACUGAGACACGGUCCAAACUCCUACGGGAGGCAGCAGUGAGGAAUAUUGGUCAAUGGGCGAGAGCCUGAACCAGCCAUGUCGCGUGAAGGAAGAAUGUCCUAUGGAUUGUAAACUUCUUUUAUACAGGAAUAAAGUGUACUACGUGUAGUAUUUUGUAUGUACUGUAUGAAUAAGGAUCGGCUAACUCCGUGCCAGCAGCCG
rnacentral:rRNA from 1 species